rnacentral:lncRNA from 12 species
AAACAUUUAUUUUUCAGAGUACUUAAAGAUAUCUCCAUCCCGUCUAAUUGGAUUCUUUAAUAAUUAUCUAAUAUGUUUGCUGAGUUUUACAGUAUUGUAUUUUCACAUUUAUCAUCCCUUCUGAGAUCCACAGCAACUUGUUGAGGUAGUCCGAGAGGGCAUUAUUGUUCUCAUCUUGGAGAUGAUGACAUAGAGGGUCAAAUGAACUGAUUUUCCAACUUUCAGAGGGUAUCAAGCUUGAUGCUUACCAAGUUACUCUUUUCACUCUUAGGAAGGAAAGGAAUGUGUUAAGGACAUUUCAUAAUUCAUGGAGUCUCUGAAGUGGCUAAAUACCCAGUUUUGAUGGCUAGAUAGCCAAAACAUUGCCCAAAUUACACCAACAGACCCACUCCAGUGAGGACAAUGGCAUGAUUACAACUUCAGGACGCAAAUAGCACCUCUUAUGCCUGAAUUAUGGCAGACAUGGAUGGACCCUGUCGGUUCUGAACAGUGUCGCUUUGGGAUGCUGAAUGUCUUCAACAUCAUUUGCACCAGGAUAGAUUCUGUGCUUAUAAUGGACUGAAUGUUCAUGUUGCCCCCAAAUUCAGAUGCUGAAAACCUAACCCCCAAGGUGAUGGUAUUAGGAGUGAGGCCUCUAGGAGGUGAUUAGGUCAAGAGAAUGGAGCCUCCAUAAAUGGGGUUAGUGUCCUAUGAAAGAGAACCCAGAGAGGUCCCUCACCUUUUAGCCCUGUGAGGACAGAGUGAGAAGAAAGCAUCUAUGAACCAGGGAUUGGGUUCUCAUCAGACACUAAUUGUUGGCACCAUGAUCUUGGACUUCUCAGCCUCCAGAACUAUGGGAAAUAAUUGUUUCUAAGCCACCUAGUUUAUGCCAUUCUGUUACAGCAGCCUGAACAUUAAUUAAGCCAGUGCCUCACCCACUUCUGCAAAUCAGACCCUCUCAGAUUCAGUGUCCUAUAUGUAUGUUUGAGUAAUAGAAACUGGGUCAUUCUGCUCCUGGGGUGACCAAUCAUCCCAGUUUGCUCAGGACUAUACUGAUUUCAAGACUGAAAGUCUCACGUUCCAGGAAGCUCCUCAGUUCAGGGCAAGUAGAGAUGGUUGGCUGCCUUACUGUACUUCAGUUACCAGGGAGGCUGAGAAAGCAAGUUUCACUACCACGAAGGUCUCAGGUCAGAGAGAGGACCACUUGGAGGGCGCCACAUUGAGCAGAGGCAAUUUCUUUUAAGGCUGCUCAAGGUAAGGGCUCAUUUCCUCAGUCUCUCUUUCUCUGUCCCUUCUCCCGAUUUUUAAAAG